UACGAAGGGGGGCUAGCGUUGCUCGGAAUCACUGGGCGUAAAGCGCACGUAGGCGGCUCUUUAAGUCAGGGGUGAAAUCCUGGAGCUCAACUCCAGAACUGCCCUUGAUACUGAGGAGCUUGAGUCCGGGAGAGGUGAGUGGAACUGCGAGUGUAGAGGUGAAAUUCGUAGAUAUUCGCAAGAACACCAGUGGCGAAGGCGGCUCACUGGCCCGGUACUGACGCUGAGGUGCGAAAGCG
rnacentral:rRNA from 1 species